AAAUGUUUGAUUCAAUCUUUCUUUCACAGUUUAUUACUGACUAUCAAACAUUCAGCUGAGGUUCGAUUACAACAAACAUUUACUUUUAGAAAUUCUGUUUUUUUCGUAUAGUGUCAAAAAAAAUACAAAUAAAAUAAUUAAGUAAAUAAAAGCAUUGUUAAGCAUGAUUUUAUGUUGUGUUAAAUGUGAUGUACAGAAUAUAGAGUCAGAGUUAGUGAAGCGUUCAGAGGUUUUUGUACAGCUGCUCGGUUUGUUUCUAUCACUGUGGUGGACUUUCGGUGCCGGCACGAGACUGGAAGUUGGCAGUGUGUCUGCUCCUAAAGUGAUCGUCCUGCCGCCGUCCAGUGAAGAGAUUUCCAGCAAGAAGACAGCAACAGUGAUGUGUGUGGCCAGCAAUGGUUUCCCUUCAGACUGGAGUCUGAGCUGGAAAGUGAAUGGGAAGAUGUCAGGAUCUCAGGAGAACAGAGCUGGAGUCCUACAGAAAGACGGCGGUCUGUACAGCUGGAGCAGCAGUCUGACUCUCACUGAACAAGAAUGGAUCAACAGAGACUCAGUGAUCUGUGAGAUCAGUCGGGAAGGUCAGACAGUCACUGGAGAAGUGAAGAAAGAUCUGUGUUCUGAGUAGAUCCUCUCUUCUUCUCAUCUCUUCUUCUCAUUCAUGUCUCACAUCAACAGUGGACAACUAUUCAUACAACACUCUGUGUCU